UACGUAGGGGGCAAGCGUUAUCCGGAUUUACUGGGUGUAAAGGGAGCGUAGGCGGCGAUGCAAGUCAGAAGUGAAAGCCCGGGGCUCAACUCCGGGACUGCUUUUAAAACUGUGUUGCUAGAUUGCAGGAGAGGUAAGUGGAAUUCCUAGUGUAGCGGUGAAAUGCGUAGAUAUUAGGAGGAACACCAGUGGCGAAGGCGGCUUACUGGACUGUAAAUGACGCUGAGGCUCGAAAGCGUGGGGAGCAAACAGG
rnacentral:rRNA from 1 species